GGAACAUCGGAUUACUCAUCUGGUGGCAGGUGGGUGUCGGAGCUGGCUGUGGACCCCACCGUCUGUAGCCAGUCCGCAGCAGCUUUCCUCUCUGGCAAACUCACAGCAAGCAUGCAGGGUGAUAAAACGGCAGUGACAAAUCCAGUGCAAUCAGGUGGGAAAUCCCCCCUGAGUAAUAACACCUCCUCAUCGCUCAUCCCGACCUCUUCCCCUGAGCCCCGCGUCUGCCGCUGAGAACUCAGCGCUGUUUUACCUUCAGCCCUGAGCUCCGCACAGGAAAAAGAAGAGAAAAGUGAGACACGGGAGUCUGGAGGAUCUCAAUCAAUGGUCAGAAAGGAGUACCCAGAAUGUCUACUGAUUGCCUCACUCCACGCAGAAUAUGCAACAUUCAUCCUUUCUCUAUCGCACCCUCCCUGCAUCUCCCAUCAUUCUUGACUCAGAGAAGAAGGCGUCAAGCAUCCUUUCAAGUACCUUCCCCAGGGUUGUCAUCAACUUAACUCCUCUUCAGUUUCCACUGCUACUAGUAAAGUAAUCAUGAUUUACGAAGAAUCCAUGGAAAAAUUUUGCAUCUAUUAAUUAUCUGACUUAAUCUUUACCAGAUCGUUAUUAAGCAAGAAUUACUAUUACCCUGAUUUUCACAGAUGAGGAAAUUGAGGAUAAGGAAAUUUAGGAACCUGCCUAGAGUUACACAACAAGGAAGUUGCAGAGGGGAGGGUUUUUGCCAAGGUUUCUAUGAUUCCAAUGUUAUCACUUUUCUAAUGCAUCUGCUGACCGAGACUGAAGAAUCAACUACCUCCUCCAGAAGGUCAGUUACCCAAGAAAUCUCUGGGACUGAGGAGAACGGGGGAACAGGAGACAGAUCGGAGAGGCUGGGACAUGGAGAUUUGCUUCAUAUGCAAAGAACUCAUCUCCUAGAAUUUUGCAGCAUCUUCCAGAGUCUAAGCUUGUGUUUUGACGUGCCCUUUCCAAGACAAGGGGAUACGUGAAGCUCAGUGAAUCAGGAGCGUUUACGGAGGAGAAAGAAAAUAAGAUCUUCUCCCCAGCUAAAAAUCCAGGCAUUGUCCUUGGCUGGAAAACCUCUCUUGGAUUGUAUGGACAGACUGAAAAUACAUCUUAGCAUCCAAACAUAGACAGCCAGGGCAUGGACUCAGGCUUGAUGCCCAAAGAGAUCCUCAUCAUCAUACCUUAGAAGUACCACAUCCUUUGUUCUUCCUGGCUAAACCCCUUCAGCCAACAUCCCUGCCUGCAGGGUAAGCAAUUUACUUACAGUUAAACUGCUAAUAAGUAGGGAAUCAUGGAUCAAUCAGAAACACUAAAUAUUUCAAAAUAUUUAGGGUCAAUAUUUCAAAAAACAUUGCAACAUUUGUACAUUUACCUGCUACAAGUUUGCAUGGGCAGGAACCAUAUCAAGUCCAUUAAAAUUCCUGAUUUCCUUAUGUCUAGCAAAAUCUUUGAUCACUAGUUAUGUAUAUUUCAGUUAAUAAAAAUGAAGAGCAUGAGUACUCUUCCAUAAGAAAUGCAGCGUGUUGGGAUAUACAGAAUUUUGCAAAACAGAGUAGAAUGGGGAUGGUUAUCAUAACACAGUGGGCCCAUCAGUGUAGUGGAGUUCAACAUUUUUGAUUCCUUCCAAAUUUCCAGAUUUCAUCUUUGAUGUUGGGAAUGUAAAGACUGAUAUAGCACAAUCAUGGUCCUCCAGAAAUGUAUCAGAUUGUUGGGGAAACAAAUAGAUGCAGAAAUAGUUAUCUGCGUGAUACAGCAAAUACAAACAUGUGCAAGAUGCUCCAAGGAUGUAGAAAGAGAAGCCCUGGUUGGGCUUGUGUGGAGGAGAUGUGGGAAAGGGGGCUUUCUCAAGGAAGCGAUGUCUGAACUCAGACGUGAAGGAACAGCAGAGCUUACCCUCCCCACAGGAGGUUGUACUGUACAGCAUGAGCAAAGAAAGGAGGAAGGUGUAAAGACAUUACCUUUGGUGCAAAGAUUGGCAUAGCUGUCCCACAACCUAUUUGAAUUAACAUUUGUCAAUGAGACACCAACAUCAAAUGCUAUCACUGACAUGUGGAAUCUAAAAAAAGGACACAAUGAACUUCUUUGCAGAACAGAUACUGACUCACAGACUUUGAAAAACUUACGGUUUCCAAAUGAGACAGGUUAGCGGGUGGGGGGAUGCACUGAGGGUUUGGGAUGGAAAUGCUGUAAAAUUUGGUUGUGAUGAUUGUUGUACACCUAUAAAUGUAAUAAAAUUCAUUAAGUAAUAAAAAAGGAAAAAAAACUUUACAAUGAUAUAUAAAAAAUAAUAAUGUUUAUCAUGGUAGGUCUCCAUGCAUUAAGAAUUUACUGAGAGGCUAUUCUAUGCCAAGCCUAACAGUGGGCACCCAGGGUGGAUAGCUCAAAUGUCAUGUCUCCAAAAAUCCACAUUUCAGGAGAGAAAACGAUGCAACACUGUGCAAUGAGCUUGAAAGACCUCACCCAUAAUACAUGCUGGACCAGGAGCUUUAUUUGGUAGAAAUGCUUUGAAAAUAUUUUUUUUUGUUUUUAUCUUGCCACUGGAUGUGUC
rnacentral:lncRNA from 1 species